rnacentral:rRNA from 1 species
AUGCCGCCGCCACCAUUGCCGGGGUUCCCAGCCUCCGCCACCACCAUCGCCGGGGUUCCCAACCUCCGUCGCCUAACUUUGUGCUCCUACGCCGACCUCCGAGACCGCCGGCGUCGGCGCCAUCGCAACUCCCGGUCAGGGCAGGACUCAAGGGAGGUCGUGGCUCCCCCCAAUCCGUCUCAAUCCCACCGCCCCGCCCAGGAGGACAUGCAACGACAAGCGUUGGCGCAUCGUCGCGGGUGGCGGCGAGGAGGACGGGCCAUGGCAGCCCCCGAAGCACCACCACGACAGCACCUCGCCGCGGCCCCUCGGCAUGGGUUGGCGCCCCCCGUCCAAGAGAUGGGAGUAGAUGCACUACAGGAGGGAUAG